rnacentral:rRNA from 1 species
AACGAACGCUGGCGGCAGGCCUAACACAUGCAAGUCGAGCGAGGACUUCGGUUCUAGCGGCGGACGGGUGAGUAACGCGUGGGAAUGUGCCCUUCUCUACGGAAUAGCCCUGGGAAACUGGGAGUAAUACCGUAUACGCCCUAUUGGGGAAAGAUUUAUCGGAGAAGGAUCAGCCCGCGUUGGAUUAGGUAGUUGGUGGGGUAAUGGCCUACCAAGCCGACGAUCCAUAGCUGGUUUGAGAGGAUGAUCAGCCACACUGGGACUGAGACACGGCCCAGACUCCUACGGGAGGCAGCAGUGGGGAAUCUUAGACAAUGGGGGCAACCCUGAGCGAGCCAUGCCGCGUGAGUGAUGAAGGCCUUAGGGUUGUAAAGCUCUGUCAGCUGGGAAGAUAAUGACGGUACCAGCAGAAGAAGCCCCGGCUAACUCCGUG